GACAGAGGGUGCAAACGUUGCUCGGAAUCACUGGGCGUAAAGGGCGUGUAGGCGGAUAGAUAAGUCGGGCGUGAAAUCCCCAGGCUCAACCUGGGAACUGCACUCGAAACUGUUUAUCUUGAGUGCCGGAGAGGAAAGCGGAAUUCCUGGUGUAGAGGUGAAAUUCGUAGAUAUCAGGAGGAACACCAGUGGCGAAGGCGGCUUCUGGACGGUAA
rnacentral:rRNA from 1 species